rnacentral:snRNA from 1 species
UUGCUUGCUUCGGCAGUACAUAUACUAAAAUUGGAAGAUAAGCAUGGCCCCUGCACAAGGAUGACACACAAAUUUGUGAAGCGUUCCAUAUUUUU